CGUGUGUGAAGAAGGCCUUCGGGUUGUAAAGCACUUUCAGUCGUGAGGAAGGGUGUGUAGUUAAUACCUGUAUGCAUUGACGUUAGCGACAGAAGAAGCACCGGCUAACUCCGUGCCAGCAGCCGCGGUAAUACGGAGGGUGCGAGCGUUAAUCGGAAUUACUGGGCGUAAAGCGCGCGUAGGUGGUUCAGUAAGUCAGAUGUGAAAGCCCCGGGCUCAACCUGGGAACUGCAUUUGAAACUGCUGAGCUAGAGUACGGUAGAGGGUAGUGGAAUUUCCGGUGUAGCGGUGAAAUGCGUAGAGAUCGGAAGGAACACCAGUGGCGAAGGCGACUACCUGGACCGAUACUGACACUGAGGUGCGAAAGCGUGGGUAGCAAACAGGAUUAGAUACCCUGGUAGUCCACGCCGUAAACGAUGUCAACUAGCCGUUGGGGGACUUGAUCCUUUAGUGGCGAAGCUAACGCGAUAAGUUGACCGCCUGGGGAGUACGGCCGCAAGGUUAAAACUCAAAUGAAUUGACGGGGGCCCGCACAAGCGGUGGAGCAUGUGGUUUAAUUCGAUGCAACGCGAAGAACCUUACCUACUCUUGACAUCCAGAGAACUUUCCAGAGAUGGAUUGGUGCCUUCGGGAACUCUGAGACAGGUGCUGCAUGGCUGUCGUCAGCUCGUGUUGUGAAAUGUUGGGUUAAGUCCCGUAACGAGCGCAACCCUUAUCCUUAUUUGCCAGCGAGUAAUGUCGGGAACUCUAAGGAGACUGCCGGUGACAAACCGGAGGAAGGUGGGGACGACGUCAAGUCAUCAUGGCCCUUACGAGUAGGGCUACACACGUGCUACAAUGGCCGGUACAGAGGGCUGCAAACUCGCGAGAGUAAGCGAAUCCCACAAAACCGGUCGUAGUCCGGAUCGGAGUCUGCAACUCGACUCCGUGAAGUCGGAAUCGCUAGUAAUCGUGAAUCAGAAUGUCACGGUGAAUACGUUCCCGGGCCUUGUACACACCGCCCGUCACACCAUGGGAGUGGGCUGCACCAGAAGUAGGUAGUUUAACCUUCGGGAGGACGCUUACCACGGUGUGAUUCAUGACUGGGGUGAAGUCGUAACAAGGUAGCCCUAGGGGAACCUGGGGCUG
rnacentral:rRNA from 1 species